CAGACACUGGCAAGUCAUUCUGCUCGCUCAGGACCCCUUCAGUCCUCUACUUAAGCUGGACUGUGAUGGUCAUCUGUGAGUCAGAAUUUGACAGUAAUUUCUUCACAGAAUUCUCACCCAGGAAGCUCGUGAAGUGGAGAGGGCUCCUGGAUGCUUGCUUUAGAAACAACAGACUUCACCAGGGCAGUUUUUAAUGACCUGUAUUAAACUCAUCUCUUCGGAUCUGGCCACAUGACAGUCUCUCAUUGGCCUGGAACUUGCCAAGUAGACUAGACUAGCUGCCUAGAAACCCCAAGGACCUGCUUGUCUCUGCCUUCCCUGAGCUGAGAGUAUAAGAGCAUGUCACCUGAUCAGCUUUUUUUCAUGUGCAUUCUGGGGAUCAAUCUCAGGUCUUCAUGCUUUCAUGGCACUGUAGGAGGAUGGGAAGAAGACAUUACCACAUCCUCACCACCAAGAAUGACCAUUCACUCCAGAACUCCAUACUAUAGGACUUGAUUAUGAAGAUGAAAGGAACUCUCCAGACCAAUAUGUUUGAAUAUGGAGAAAGAUCCAGAGACAGCAUCAAUGCUUCAGCGGGCUAGUGGUCCUAGAGGUCAUUUUUAGGAAAUCUUUGGUAGAGUGCAUCUACAUUGGGCAUGGUGCUAAAGAGACUGACACUGUUCAUGUUCAACUCUAGCUGUGUAAUCUCAGGUAAAUUACUAAUAUGUGUUAUGCCUCAAGUUGCUGUCCUGUAAUAUGGGAAUAAAAAUGGAACUUAUCUCCAAAAAAUAUUGUGAGGAUGUAGGGAAUUAAUGUAUUAUGUAACAUUCAUAUAAAUGCUUAGCAAGU